GAUGAACGCUGGCGGCGUGCCUAAUACAUGCAAGUCGAGCGGUAAGGCUUUACACAGUUUGCUUAAAUGGUCUUUGACCACUCUUUAUCUGGCUAGAUAAAUGAGUUUGAGCGAGGUGUGUAGAGUACACGAGCGGCGGACGGCUGAGUAAUGCAUUGGAACGUACCCCAAACUGAGGGAUAAUUCACCGAAAGGUGGACUAAUACCGCAUGUGCCAUUCGUGGUAAAGCUACGGCGGUUUGGGAGCGGCCAAUGUUCGAUUAGCUAGUUGGUGAGGUAAUAGCUCACCAAGGCUACGAUCGAUAGCGGGUCUGAGAGGAUGAUCCGCCAGACUGGAACUGAGACACGGUCCAGACUCCUACGGGAGGCAGCAGUAGGGAAUUUUCCACAAUGGGGGCAACCCUGAUGGAGCAACGCCGCGUGCAGGAUGAAGGCCCUCGGGUCGUAAACUGCUUUUCUCUGUGAUGAUUAUGACAGUAGCAGAGGAAUAAGGA
rnacentral:rRNA from 1 species